GCGCUCCGCAGCCAAUGGGAGGCUGCGCUCGGCCCUUGACCAAUCAGCGCGGGGGGCGUGGUCGGCGGCCCCGUUGGAGAGUGCUGCGGAGGAAGCAGCCGGAGAGGGGCGCUGGGAGCUGGCAGCGGAGCGGGACCGGAGCGGCUGCGAGCGCAGAGCCGGGGCAGGGCGAAGCUCGGAGCCUCUCAGCCCCACAGCCGCCAGUGAGGCAGGGGAGCAAAGCAGGAGCCUGCAGCACCGAGAGGCGGCGGCGAGCGAGGCUCUUGAGACGCCUGGCAGCGGCUCCGGGGGCAGAGCCGGCCCGGCCCAG